rnacentral:lncRNA from 1 species
CGCCGCCGCCGCCCCCCCUCCUGCUGUUCCAGCUGCCGCCGCCGCCGCCGCCGCUUCCUGGGCUGAGUCUGCCUGCGGUCCCAGCGGCGCCAGGUGCGUUCAUCCUGCCGGUCUUCUGCCAGCGUCCGCCGCUGCUGUAGCUGCCCCAGGCUCCCCACACCGCUUCCGAGAUGGCGACGCGCUCCUGCCGGGAGAAGGCUCAGAAGCUAAAUGAGCAGCACCAGCUCAUCCUGUCGAAACUGCUGAGGGAGGAGGACAACAAGUACUGCGCCGACUGCGAGGCCAAAGGUAGCGCAGACGGCGCCGCCGCCCUGUAGGGGCCUCCUGCGACCGGUGACCUUCCCGCAGCCGCUGCGCCUCGGCUGAGCUGCCGGGCCGGCCUUAAAGCCAGGGCUGAUGGAUGGGUGGGCGCGGGGCUCCCAGUGACCGUCGCCUCCGCCAGGGGCGGCGGCGAGGUCAGGCCCACAGGCCGGUCGGUGUCCUCGGCCUCCGCUCUUCACCCGCCUGGGGCGGAGCCGGUGCCUGCGUCUCGGUGCUCCUAUCCUCCAAGGGCUGGGCUAGGGAGCGCGGAACCCGGCGUCGGCCUGGGUAGUGCUUAGGUUAAAGAAUUGCCCCGCUGCCUCUGUUCACAGCUGCCUCUGUGGGUGGGGCCGCUCUUAGGUCUUGGCCUUCUCUUCGACCCUACAGAGUGACCAUGUUCUCCUUUUGCGGGCUCUAUUGCUCGUUCUCCUAGACGGAGCCCUACCUGCUUGCCCACCUGACAGCUUUUGUACAGGGUUCUUGCUUCUGUUUCAUUAAAAAGGGCAUGGGUGUCCUUUUUGGUGGGUUGGAGCUUUCCUGAAUAACUGGGAAAGGAUCUUAAUUAAUAGUAGUAUUGCUUUUCAGUCUGGCUAUUAGCCAGGAUGAAGAGGAAUUUCAUUAUAUGAAUCGGACAGUGGGCUUACAGAUCCUGAAGGUUUUAGUGGUUAGAUUCUCUCAGACAAGCUAUUUGGGGAGAAUAUGUGGACACAGGUUUGUCAGCCUCUUAAACGUUGAAGGUGCAUUUUAAAGAACCAGAGAUGGAAAAGACCUAAUUUUAGUUUGUUCAGUUGGAGGGCUUCUGCCUGAGCCUUUGAAAUAGAUACACUAUUUUUAGCUGAUAGUUUUGUGUUUGGAGAUCUGAUUUAUACUUAAAGUCUUGUAAGUAAUCUCAUGGGGAAUAUUGUUUCAGAUUUUAACCAAACCUCUCAUGUAGUUAGAAAAAAAUGUUAAUUGUAAGUUAGUUUAUUUAAUUAUUCAGUGAGCAAUAGGUAGUUCUUUGAAGAAGGAGACAAUCAGUCUUUGGGGGUGUUGUUGAAGAUUUCUGCAUUAUUUAACCUAGACUUUUCUUGAAGAUUUACUAUUCUUUAUCAGUACUAAAUAAAUAAGUCACUGUCAGUAGACUGAUAAUAUAUGAUCAGACUGAGUCACACAGCAUCGGCAAGUUACCUCACUGUCAUAACAGGUAUUAAAUUAUUGUAAGGAUCAAGUAGGUGGGAAUAAUGUAACUAGAUCAUUUUAUGAAGCACUUUCAAUAUCUUAGUAACUUGAUUGAAUCAGCCUUGUAUUUAUCCCAUGUAACUUUUAGGUAUUGAAGUUAAAAAAACUACAUAUCUGAUUUUUUUGUAGUAAUAUUUGUUUGCUUAAUGCUUGAUUAUGUGUGUGGUUAUUUGGUGAUACUCUACUGUAUUGAGGCUCAAUUGCUUGCUUAUCACUGUACUAGUAAAACACUUAAAGACAGACUUUAAGAGAUCAGAAAAUGAAAGGAGCUGAAGUUAUAAUCAUAUUUGUCAUUUUGUGUAAUAAAUAACAUGGUUAAGUAGAGAUGUUGGUAAAUGUUAAAUCUAUUAAUAAUUGAGUAAUGAUAGCUUCAGUGAUUAACUUUUAUUUAUUGAAAUAAUUUUAGAAGUAAUUUUUAUUUAAAUUUCUUUCUAUAAAAAAGGUACUUUAUAAAAUCAGAUUUUCAUUAAUUUUUCAUGAAAGUAAUUUUGUAGGUUUUUUCAAAGCCUUUAUUAACCACACAUUAACACAUUUUCAUUUACUUUUUUGGGAAUGGAGGGAAGAAUAUCAUGUGCUACUCUUUUUUCUUUUCUUCUACUGGAGAUUCAACCCAGGGGUGCUUAACUACUGAGCCAUAUCCUCAGCCUUUUAUUAUUAUUAUUAUUAUUUUUAUUUUGAGAAGGGUCUCCCUAAAUUGUUUAGGGCCUAAGGUGAUGAGGCUGGCUUUGAACUUGGGAUUCUCCUCCCUCAGCCUCCUGAGCUGCUGGGAUUAUAGGUGUGUGCCACUGGGCUUGGUCUACACUUCUAAAAUUAGGAAAAAAAGUUUUACUUCUGACAUGAGUACAAAAUAUUUGUUCACUUUUUUUUAAUAUCAUCAUUUAUUGAUUUUUAUGUGGUGCCGAGGAUUGAACCCAGUGCCUCACACAUGGGAAGCAAGUGCUCUACCACUGAGCUAUAGCCCCAGCCCUCACUAUUUUUAUUGCCGUUAAAGUCAGUGGAAAAAAGCUGAAUGAGUAUCUUUAAUUUUGGCUUUGUUUGGUCAUUUGUUUCUUGGUUUGUUUUUGAGAAGUAGAGGAAGUUGGAGAGUAGUUUCAAGGGCUCAAGAGUGCAGAUUUCAUGGCAUGAACUCUGCAGUCAUGAUUUAGAAAGAUUUUUUUCCUUGUUGCAACUAAGUCUAGAAUGUUAAAAUGAUCUUGGAAAUUAUUUCAUUGUUUGAUCUUGAUCAGGAAAAAAUUUCAAAGAUAGGGACACUUGAAAUUAAACUCAAUUUUAUAGUUGAAAAUUUAAAUUUUAUACUCAAUUUUAUAAUUUAAAAUUUGACAUAAUUGGGAAAUUGAUAGAUUUAAAUAUAUUUUUGCAAAGUUUUUUGCAUCUUGGUAUGGUUGGGCUCCAGUAUGGAGCCCUCUUAUGUAGAAUUAUUGACUUGUUACAUAAUUUUGGAUUUAUUAUUAUAUAUGCUAGGUGAAAUAAUAAAUGUAGAUAGUGAAAUUCUGAUUUUAAAGGACUUUCACAGCUCAGGUAUUAAGAGAUCUCAUUCAGUAUAUGUAGUGAUGUUUCCUCACUAUCUAAUGAAUUGUAUCAAGCUUUUCAUGAAUCUUGAAGCUAUUUCCUAGUUAACUCAAUUUUCAUUCUUUCAAAGAAAGAAAUCCUCCAUUGGUCUUGAAUAUGUAUCCAAAAUAAAGCAUAGGUUUUGAGAUUGUCUUAUUCCGUUACUUUAUAGUAGUUGACAGAUGUAUGUCAAUUGGAUUUUGACAUUUCUCUCUGAGUUACCAGUUUGUUUCCUGUAUUUACAUUAUUUAGGAAGGAAGGAGAAAAGGAUAGCAUAGAUGCCAGUUUCCUGCUUGUGAUCCUACACUUAUCAGAUAUGUUGAGCAACUGGAGAAUAAGAACAGGCAGAUGGUACUUCACUUUACCCCAGCUGCAUUCCUGACUCUGUGGGAGUUUUAAAGGCACUCUGUGAUUAUUAGUGGCAAUAUGGGAUGGUGAGGACUGAGAGAGCCCCCUCACCAACCUAAAAUUUAGUUUUCAGAAUCUAAAGCUUCUCCACAGGUAAUCAUGAAUAUUAAUUUGCCCAGUUUUGGGGUGGUCAGACAUAGGUUUUUGGAUCCUAGAGAUCAUUUUGUUUAGACUCUCUGGUAUUGAGCAGUUUAAGUUCCUUGCUCAGAUCACUUAUUUCUUAAUUCCACAGAUCUCGGAGGCCAGUUUGUUAAGUACUAUAUUAGAUUAAAGGGUAAAAACAUUUCUGAGACCUGAGUUUAGUGGUGAGUGUAUAUUUGUAAAAUAAUAAUAUUCAAAUAUUGUGCUAAGUGGUAUAAUAAUUGUUGUAAAAAGUACCCCCCUCCUGUUUAUUUUUGGCUCUCUUUCCCUGCACCCUGACUUUUGCCUGUUGUUUGCCUUUAUAGUUUCCAGAAUGCUGCCUCAAGGCCUUCACACAUGCUCUUCCUCUCUGAUGAUACUUUUUGUCUAAUCUGCUGUUACUGAUGUUCAAUUUUUGCGUAACUAUCUUUUCAAGGAAAAAAUUCCCUUUGCUUCUCUCACCUUAGGUUAGGCUUCCAUUUUAUAUAUUUGAGACAUCAUCCUGAAUCUUAUCACACUUAAACAUUGUUGAGGUAAUUAUUGGGCAUUCCAUAUCUCUGUUGGAUUAUAGCUGCAAGAAAGGAAAAAAUCUUGUUUAUCUUGCUUGGGAUAAUUUCUACAGUUCUCAGCACAGUGUGUGGCAUGUAGAACAUAAUUAUAACUCAUCAAAUAUCUUUUGAAUAAAUGAAUGUAUGAAUGAGCACAGAGCCAGUAGCAACAAAGGGAGUGUUUGAAAGGGAGUACACCUGUGAAAGGGAGUGGCAUUUGAAGUAACCUUGUUAGGAGUCACAGAAGUCCUAUGUGAUCUAGGUUCUGAAGGUGGAGUGAAAUUUCACCAGCUAGAGAAGGAAUUAAACGGCACAGUUGGAUACACAAAAGUAUAGGCUUAUGAAAGGUAAAAGAGGUCUCAUAUGCCCUUUUAAUGGUAAAGUUGUCUUUAUAUAUACUCAUAUUUGGUUCUGGCAGGUCAGAGGAAGAACUGGGAUAGUGAAAGAUUGCAGGCAAGUCACUAAGUAAGGAGGUGUUUAACAGUAGUCCAAGGAAUAGGAAAUAGGACCUGAACUCAUGCAGUAUCAAUCUAUCAGUCAGGAUGUAUAGAACAGGAAACAGGUAUAAUUUAGCUAAUUUUACCUAAAAGGUGUUUAAAGAAUAAGAUACUUAAAAAAAUCACUGGAAGAACUGGAGGAGGUAAAAUCAGGGAGGUACUCACUGCUGGACUUUUGCUUUCAAGGUCACACAUACUCUGCUACAACUGUUGCCCCAGUACCUAGACUUCUUCUCAUUCAAAAAAUUGGUGAGCUGAUGGGUGAAGAAGGACUGUGGUUGCUAUAAGCACUUGAUUGCUGUUAGUAAUUUUUGUCUGUAUGGCCUGUGCCACACUUACGCUUUCCAUGUGCAAAUAAUUGACAAAACUUAAUGAUUCCAACAGCUUGCUUUCUAGGGUGUCUUUUAACUUUCUAACCUCUUCAAAAAGUAGACAUGUGUAGAGACUGGUUGUGAGAGCCAGUCCUAGGUAGAGCCUACCACAGGCAGUGAGGAUAGAGACUAUUUUUUUCAUUGCAUUCAUUAUUUUAGAGUUGUUAUAUGAACUAUUUGAAAUUCUUAAUUAAAAAUAAAGUUUACCUCAAGGAACUAAUGUUUAUGAUGUUGAUGCUUGCCAGGUAAAUUAUUUUUAACAAAAGUCUGAUUAUAAUUCAUCUCAAGAAAUUUGUCAUUCUAAAAGUUCUUACAAAAUGUAAAUUUCAGCUGAUGGAUCUAUUGUUCUUGUAAUUCUGCCUAUUUUUGAGGUUUUCUCUGAAGAUUGUAUGCCCUGAUGUCAGAGCUUGAAUGGAAACCACUGUUUUCUCUCUGACUUAUCAGUUUAAAACUUGGAUUAUAUGUUGCUUCCCUUCUUUGUCUUCUAAUUAUUCUUUGUCUUCUUCUUUUUUAAGAUUAUAAUAUUCUUUCAUUUUUGACUUCAUUAAUGAGAUUUAUAUUUCCUUAAUUCUUCUGUAUGAGAUAUACAUAAUUGUUCAAGUCAUUGGGACUUGAACCCAUGAUUUUGUUAAGGCAAAGUAAAAUAUUUGAUAUUCUAAUUAUAUACUUAAAAACUCAAACCUUUUUCUUACUAUUGGUUUUUCCACUGGAUAGAACCAAGCUGUUUUCUUGCCUUUUUUUUCAAUUUUCUCAAUGAAAGAAGAUCAAAGAAACUUGGAGGUCAUUUUAUUUAAGUUAUAUAACUAUUAUGAGAGGUGUUAAUGCCUUAUAUUCUGACCACUGUAAAGAGUUUGAUUUAACAUACUUUUGUUGGUAAAUCAAUGUAUUAGUUUUCUAUUGUUAUAACAACCUGAGCUGUAUACUUUAUAUUAAAAAAAGAGGUUUAUUUACUUCAUAGUUUUGGAGGCUGAGGGUUCCAGCAGCUGGUGCUGGCUCCAAUAGGGUCCCCCCUGGCUGUAUCACAUCGUGAUGGAUGACAUUAUGGUGGAAAUGCAUGUGCAAGGGAGAGAUCAAAUGGUAAAAUAAUUAAGCCAGAGAGUAGGAGGGGCCAGGCUCACUCUUUCUCUUGGGAACUAACCAGAAUCCUAUAAGAACUAUCCUAAACCCUUCUAAGUGCCUCAGAUGACCUGACACCUUCCAGUAGGGUUCACUUUCUUUUUUUUUUUUAACUUUAUUUUAUUUUAUUUUCUUCUUAUUAUUAGUUGUUCAAAACAUUACAAAACUCUUGACAUAUCAUAUUUCAUACAUUUGAUUCAAGUGGAUUAUGAACUCCCAUUUUUACCCCGUAUACAGAUUGCUGAAUCACAUCGGUUACAUAUCCACGUUUUUACAUCCUGCCAUACUAGUGUCUGUUGUAUUCUGCUGCCCUUCCUAUCCUCUACUAUCCCCACUCCCCUCCCAUCUUCUCUCUCUACCCCAUCUACUGUAAUUCAUUUGUCUCUCUUGUUUUUUUUUUUUCCCUUUCCCCUCACAUCCUCUUAUAUGUAAUUUUGUAUAACAGUGAGGGUCUCCUUCCAUUUCCAUGCAGUUUCCCUUCUCUCUCCCUUUCCCUCCCACCUCUCAUCCCUGUUUAAUGGCAAUCUUCUUCUCAUGCUCUUCCUCCCUACUCUGUUCUUAGUUGCCCUCCUUAUAUCAAAGAAGACAUUUGGCAUUUGUUUUUUAGGGAUUGGCUAGCUUCACUUAGCAUAAUCUGCUCUAAUGCCAUCCAUUUCCCUGCAGAUGCCAUGAUUUUGUCAUUUUUUAGUGCAGAGUAAUACUCCAUUGUGUAUAAAUGCCACAUUUUUUUUUUAUCCAUUCAUCUAUUGAAGGGCAUCUAGGUUGGUUCCACAGUCUAGCUAUUGUGAAUUGUGCUGCUAUGAACAUCAAUGUAGCUGUAUCUCUAUAGUAGUGUCUUUUAAGGUCUUUGGGGAAUAGUCCGAGAAGGGGAAUAGCUGGGUCAAAUGGUGGUUCCAUUCCCAGCUUUCUGAGGAAUCUCCAUACUGCUUUCCAAAUUGGCUGCACCAAUCUGCAGUCCCACCAGCAAUGUACAAGUGUACCCUUUUCCCCACAUCCUCGCCAGCACUUGUUGUUGUUUGACUUCAUAAUGGUUGCCAUUCUUACUGGAGUGAGAUGGUAUCUUAGGGUGGUUUUAAUUUGCAUUUCUCUGACUGCUAGCUCUGUGAACCAUUUUUUCAUGUACUUGUUGAUUGAUUGUAUGUCCUCCUCUGAGAAGUGUCUGUUCAGGUCCUUGGCCCAUUUGUUGAUUGGGUUAUUUGUUUUCUUAUUGUUUAAUUUUUUGAGUUCUUUAUAUACUCUGGAUAUUAGGGCUCUAUCUGAAGUGUGAGGAAUAAAAAUUUGUUCCCAGGAUGUAGGCUCCCUAUUUACCUCUCUUAUUGUUUCUCUUGCUGAGAAAAAAACUUUUUAGUUUGAGUAAGUCCCAUUUGUUGAUUCUUAUUUUUAACUCUUGUGCUAUGGGUGUCCUAUUAAGGAAUUUGGAGCCCGACCCCACAAUAUGUAGAUUAGAGCCAACUUUUUCAUCUAUCAGAAGCAGAGUCUCUGUUUUGAUAACAAGCUCCUUGAUCCAUUUUGAGUUAACUUUUCCACAUCCAAACCAUAGCAUAGCCCUAUAAAAAUUAAGUUCUGUAUUAGAGACUGUUGUGUGUAUAAAAAAAGUUUUAAGUGUGGACCUCAAGCCAUUAAGCAAUCUCAAUAGACAUGAAAUAGUUAUAAGUUAACUCCACAUCUAUGGUAGACUGGUAGAUUCAUUAGAAGUUUAGAGGUGGAAUAGAUCUCUAACUAUGGGAUUAAAAGUAAUAACAUCACUUAUACAUGCAUCAAUUAUGUGUGUGUAUAUAUAUAUAUAUAUAUAUAUAUAUAUAUAUACAUACAUAUAUAUAUAUAUAUAUUUUUUUUUGCAGGGGAUACUGUGAAUACAUAUAUUAACUUAUUCUCAAAAUAACCUUUUGAGGUGGGUGCUACUGUCAUCCUGUUUUACUGUUUAGGAAACAGGCAGAGAGAGUAUAACUCUCUCAAUGUUACGUAGCUAAGAAGUGGUAGAUCAGGAAUUUUUUCAUUAUAAAAAUGGUUAACUUUUAUAUUUCAAGUCCUUUUCUAGGAGGUGGGGAUUAAAGAAGGGAACAGGUAAAGGGCCAUGCUGUAAAGGAUCUACUAAUCUAUUAGUGUGCAGAAAGGAGUUGACAUACCCAGGUCUAUAAGGUUGGGCCUUGGCUUACAUCUGGAAACUUGAAUUUGAGAUGGUCCUUUCACCCUAAUAAGAGUUUGUCUUUGUACCCAAACUGUUUGCAUAAACAAUGUGAUUUUGCUGAAUACUUUUUUUCUGGGAGUGUGGAAUUUGCAAAUGUACGAGUAUUACUUGACUUCGUGAUAAAACUUUAGGCACUGAGUCUCUUAGUUGGGAGUACUUUACACAUGUUGCCACAACUCACUGCUGGGAAAAUUAAGUAUGUCUAAUAAAAUCCUACUGGGAGAGAACAAUUAGAUGCUUCCUCCUGUUUUCUCCUGGACUUUGCUUCAUAUUCAUUUUACCUUUGCUUAUUGUGCUUAGUAUCUUUUUGCUGUAAUAAACCAUAACCAGGUAUACAACUAUAUGUUGAGUCUUCUGAAUCCUCUUAGCAAGUUGCUGAACCUGAGGGUGGUCUUGGGGACCUCCCAACAUUAUUGGUAGUAUAUAUUUUCUUUCUUUAUUGUCCAGGACAUGUUGAAGUCUAAGCAUAUUUUGGCUGGCUCUGGAACCUAGCCUACUCACAAGGGUACAGCCUAGAAGAGCAGUUUUGAAUAGUAGAGGCUCUUCCUACUUUACUGAAAAGAAAUAAGGGUGGAAAUCUGAACUAUAGAAUAAGGAUUUGGAGACCCAAGCGAUCUAGUGCAAGAGCCUAUGCUGUUAACCAUAUCUGAUGCAAUGCUAGUUAAAAAAUAUUUUUUGUUGUUGAAAGUUCAUGAUGUAAGAUAUUGUUGUUGGAAAGACUUAUCUCUUCAUACUAACUUAAAAUAUUUCCAGAGAGAUAUUGCGAAGUGUGUUCACAUAUGUUUGCAUAUGUAUGUGCCCAUUCCUGACCCAUAUGCAAAUUCCAGACUCCCAGGAAAAAAAGCAGGUAUUCAGCAAAAAACACCUUAUUUAUGCACAGUGAGAGACUCAUUGUUUAUCAUAUUGCCAAGUGUGUUUAAAUGUGAAAAAUGUCUUCAUUUAAAUUUAUCUCUGCAUUUAAUAGGAGAACCACCAUAACUUCAAAAUACCAGUUUAAACAAACUGAAAUUUUUGUCUGACCAUUAAACUUUAUUUAUAAAUUGAGCCUACAGACAAAUACUUGAAUGUUUAAUUUUUGUCUUCCAUAUAACUUUUUUUUUCCAUUAUGACUUUAAGAUCAGGUACUGGUCAUUUACCUCUGCUUUUUUGAACCAUAGAAACAACAUGAUAGAAUUGAAAAAGCACUGGCCCGGUUUAAGUUGGUAAAAUUAGGUUUGAAUUCCAGCUUUGCCUCUGACUUGCUUAGUAAUCAGUUGUCCCUGUCUUUUUUCAUCCUUACUCCAAUUAAUUAUUUUAACUCUGUUAUAGUCUGUGCUCUUUCUUGAAUCCUAUACCUUGUGUCAUAUCUAUGCUGGUAUUUACUGUAAUUCUUAAUUUAAAAAUUCUGUUAUUAAGGGUUUGUAUUUUUGAGAUCUUAUUGAAGUCUGAGUCAUGAUCAUUUCUUUAUACAUUUUUAAGGUUUUCACUGAUAAUUUAGGUCUUACUGAGCAAAUUUACCUGGUAUUAUUUUUAAUUAUCUCAAGCCAUUUUAUAUAACUCACAGAAAUAUUUAUUACAGAUUUCUGUUUGAAACUUUUUUACUGUAAUGCUUUCUUGAAGUAAUUAGAGUAAAAGCAAAGAAACCUCCACCACUUUAAGUUGACUAAUAAAGUCAAGACUCCCUUUUAUUCACUGUUUUUUAAGAAAAAACCUGUAGGUAUAUUAAAUUUUUGAUCACCUGUUGUACAUUUAUCAGUGACAGCAUUUUCUACAUGUUGUGUUAGGUAGAGCCAUGUUUAAGUAAAAUUUUAGUACCACAUAGAAGUGAUUUUAGAAUUAUUUCACAUAAACCUUAGAUAAAGCUAUUGGAAACAUGUUGAUUUUAUGUUCACAUGUAUUUCAAAUAGAACAUGUAGGGACUUAAGGGCCGAAUAGGAAGAGAAUUAUAAACUUUCUAGUAGUCUUCAUACUGCUUCCCUUUACUCCCUUAACCAAUUUUUGGUCUAAAUUUCACAAGAGAUCUAAGUGAUUAACAUUAUGUGAUUAUGAUAAAUCUUUAGGUAUCUGUCAUUGGUCUUUUGUAAAGAGUGCAUUUUAAGGACCAGUGGUAAGUUAAAAUUGAAACAUAAAAAUAAAGAAUUUGGUGGGAAAUCAUACUUAGGAUAGCUUUGUCUUCCAAUAUAAAAAGAAUCAUAAAAAUUACGAUUUAGUCUAGAUGUUGCUUGAUUCAUACCUAGUACUACUGACUUCCUGAUAAAAGUUUAGGCACUGAGUCUCUUGGUUGGAAGUACUUUACACGUGUUGCCACAAUCAGUGCUGGGAGAAUUAAGUGUGUCUAGUACAAUCCUACUGGGAGAGAACAAUUGGAUGCUUCCUCCUGUUUUCUCCUGGACUUUGCUUCAUAUUCCUUUUACCUUUGCUUAUUGUGCUUAGUAUCUUUUUGCUGUAGUAAACCAUAACCAUAACCAAAAGUUGCUUUUGGUGUCAAAUAGUGGUUGUGCAUGAUGCCAUUAAGCUAGCAGAAUUAAUGUUUACUGAAGUGAAUUGAUCAUCACUGUUGUAUUCAUUUUCUAUUGCUGUUAUAAAUGUUUUCCAUAAACUUAAUGGUUUAAAACAAUACAAGUUAUCACUUACAGUGCUGGAAUUUAGAGUCCAAAAUGAGUCUGAUUGAGCUAAAAGCAACAUUUUCAUACCCCUUUUUCUGGAGACUUUAUGGAAGAAUCUGUUUCUUUACCUUUUCCAGCUUCUAGAGACCAGCUGCAUACCUUGGCUUGUGGCUCUUCUGUUCAUCUUCAAAGCCAGCAGUGUGUCAUCUUUAGUCCCCUACUCUCCAAUAUCUUUCAUCAUAAUAUUUUUUCUGGCACAAUUACUUUGGGUUUACCUGGAUAAUCUAAGAUAAUAUUGCCAUCAGUGUACUUAAUUCAUUCAGAGUGAUUACAGUGGUUAGAACAUGAACAUCUUAGGGCUGUUGUUCUGCCUACUACAAGUAGAUUAGUGAUCAAAGUUGUAUAUUGAACUUAGAAUUUUAAUUUUUUCUUUUGAGAUGGUGUUGCUCAGGCUGCCCUUGAGCUUAUGAUCCUCUUGCCUCAGCUUCCUGAGUAGCUGGGAUUACAGGUGUGUACCACUGUGCAUGGCUUUUAAACUUAUAUUUUUAUGAAAGGUACCUGCUUUGGAUAUGUUUAAGAAGGUAUAGGAUAGAAAUGAAUACAAUUUUAAUUGAGUAUUCUAGUAGGAAUUUAAAAAUAUAUGCAUGCUAGCAUAAUUUAUUAGUCUCUUUGCAGUAUGAUCAUUUAUAUAGAAAACCCAAGAAAUUUAUUAAAAAACCUUUUAGAACCAAUAAUUGUAUUUGUCAAGGUUGUAGAAAUCAAGGUGAGUGUAGAAAUAUUUACUAUUUCUAUACACUAACAAAUAAUUGGAAGUUGAAAUAAAAAUUGGCAUUUAUGGCAUAAAAUAUAAAAAUUUAAGUGGGCUGGAUUGUGGCUCAGUGGUAGAGCACUUACCUUGCAUGCAUGAGGCACUGGAUUCCAUUCUUAGCAUCACAUAAAAAUAAAUAAAUAAUUGAAAAAAAAAAUCCCUGUUCAUAUUUAAAAAAAAUAUAAAAACUUGAGGAUAAAUUUAGCAAAGUGUGUGUAAGACCUAUACACUGAAAACUACAAAAGAUUCCGGAGAGAAAUUAAAGAGUCCCUAAAGAAAUGAAGAUAUAUACCAUGUUCAUGGAUUAGAAGACUCAAAAAUUUAAAGAUGUCAGUUCUUUUCAACUGACUCUCUGGAUUCAAUAUGAUCUAGUCAAAACCUUAGAAGAAUUUUGUUGUAUUUUAUCAAUUAACACAUUGGUUCUGUAGUUUUUAAUGAAAUGUGGAGAACACCCCUGCAACAUCAAAACAAUUUUGAAAAGUUAUAUUUGAGGUCUUAUGGAAACUGACUUCUGUAAUUAUUAAAAAGCUAUAGUUAUCAAGACAGUGUGGUGUUGGUGUCAAGACAUAUUCAGAUCAGUGGUGUUCUGAAAAUAGACUCACAUAUAUGGUCAUUUAUAUAAACAGAAAUAUCAAGGUAAUUCAGUGAGGGAAAGGGUAAUAUUUUCAACAUUGACUAAAUGUACCUUCAAUCUUACCUCAGAAUCUUACCUUGAAUCUUAACACAAAAGUUAAUUUGAAAUGAAUCAUAAAACUAAACUUAAGAGCAAAAACUACAAAACUUUUAGAAGAGACUGUUAGAGAAUUUUGGGGACCAUGAACAAGGAAAAGGUUUUUUUGGAUAGGACACAAAUGUACAUUUUGUAAAUACACAACUGUGAAAAUGGACUUAAUUAAAAACUUUUGCUCUUCAAGUGUUUUAGUUAUUUUUUUUACUCCUAUGACCCUAAAACCUGACAAAAACAAUUUUAGAAGAAGAAAAGUUUGUUUUGGGGCUUAUGGUUUCAGUGGUCUCAGUCCAUAAGCAGGUGGCUCAAUUCCUCAAGGUUGGAGGUGAGGCAGAACAUUAUGGUAAAAGUGUGGUAGAGGAAAGUGACUCAGGGCAUGAUGAUUGGGAACCAGAGAGGGACUAAACUCAGCUCACAAAAUAUGUACCCCAAAAGCAUGCUCCCAGUGACCGCCUCCUCCAGCCACACUACCUGCCUAUAGUUACCAACCAAUUAAUUAAUUUCUAUCAGUGGAUUAAUGUAUUGAUUAGAUUAAGGCUCAUCUAACCCAAUUUCACUGUUGAGCUUUCUUGCACUGUCUCACACAUGAGCAUUUGGGGGAUACCUAAUAUCUAAACCAUAACAAAAAUACACUUAAGAAAACAAAAAGGAAAAUUAUAGAUUGGGAGCAAAUAUAUCUGAUAAGGACUUUUGCUCAGAAUAUAUUUAAAUAAAUACUAUAAAGCAAUAAAAAAUAAAAUUUGUACUUGAAUGUUUAUAACAGCUUUAUUUAUAAUAGCCACAGAGUGGAAAUAAU